UCAACAACACCUCAGCUAACAGGCUCAGAAUCAACCAACACAACAGUUCGUAAUUGACUAGCCCACUACUCACCAGUAACCACCACAGAUCACUCAAAACUAAAGACUGAUAAACUAUAGUUACAUCAGUAAGAACAACAAAAUUUGUAUGUUAAAACUCGGCAACUAGUCUUCUACUGUUUAAUAAAAACAUUGUAACACAGAUGUGUUAUAACCUCCUGCCCAAUGAAAAUAUUUGAAUGGCCGCGGUAAUUUGACCGUGCAAAGGUAGC
rnacentral:rRNA from 1 species